UACUGGGCGUAAAGAGUGUGUAGGCGUCCUAAGUUCGGUGUGAAAUCUCCCGGCUCAACUGGGAGGGUGCGCCGGAAACUGGAGGGCUUGAGUAUGGGAGAGGAAAGCGGAAUUCCUGGUGUAGCGGUGAAAUGCGUAGAUAUCAGGAGGAACACAUGCGGUGUAGACAGCUUUCUGGACCAUCACUGACGCUGAGACACGAAAGCGUGGGUAGCAAACAGGAUUAGAUACCCUGGUAGUCCACGCCCUAAACGAUGCAUAUUUGGUGUGAGCCGUUCAUUCGGUUCGUGCCGGAGCUAACGCGUUAAGUAUGCCGCCUGGGGAGUACGGUCGCAAGGCUGAAACUCGAAGGAAUUGACGGGGGCCCGCACAAGCGGUGGAGCAUGUGGUUCAAUUCGACGCAACGCGAAGAACCUUACCUGGGCUCGAAAUGCAGGAGACCGGGGUAGAAAUAUCCCUUUCUCGCAAGAGACUGCUGUAUAGGUGCUGCAUGGCUGUCGUCAGCUCGUGUCGUGAGAUGUUGGGUUAAGUCCCGCAACGAGCGCAACCCUCAUCCCUAGUUGCCACCGGGUAAUGCCGAGCACUCUAGUGAAACCGCCCCGGAUAACGGGGAGGAAGGUGGGGAUGACGUCAAGUCCUCAUGGCCUUUAUGUCCAGGGCUACACACGUGCUACAAUGGUCGGUACAAACCGUCGCAAAGCUGCAAAGUGGAGCUAAUCGGAAAAAGCCGGCCUCAGUUCGGAUUGGAGUCUGCAACUCGACUCCAUGAAGCUGGAAUCGCUAGUAAUCGCAGAUCAGAACGCUGCGGUGAAUACGUUCCCGGGCCUUGUACACACCGCCCGUCACACCACGAAAGUCGGCUGUUCCAGAAGUCGCUGUUGCAACCCGCAAGGGGGCUAGGCGCCAAAGGAAUAACCGGUAAUUGGGGUGAAGUCGUAACAAGGUA
rnacentral:rRNA from 1 species